rnacentral:rRNA from 1 species
GACGAACGCUGGCGGCGUGCUUAACACAUGCAAGUCGAACGGAAAGGCCCUGCUUUUGUGGGGUGCUCGAGUGGCGAACGGGUGAGUAACACGUGAGUAACCUGCCCUUGACUUUGGGAUAACUUCAGGAAACUGGGGCUAAUACCGGAUAGGAGCUCCUGCUGCAUGGUGGGGGUUGGAAAGUUUCGGCGGUUGGGGAUGGACUCGCGGCUUAUCAGCUUGUUGGUGGGGUAGUGGCUUACCAAGGCUUUGACGGGUAGCCGGCCUGAGAGGGUGACCGGCCACAUUGGGACUGAGAUACGGCCCAGACUCCUACGGGAGGCAGCAGUGGGGAAUAUUGCACAAUGGGCGGAAGCCUGAUGCAGCAACGCCGCGUGCGGGACGACGGCCUUCGGGUUGUAAACCGCUUUCGCCUGUGACGAAGCGUGAGUGACGGUAUGGGUAAAGAAGCACCGGCUAACUACGUGCCAGCAGCCGCGGUGAUACGUAGGGUGCGAGCGUUGUCCGGAUUUAUUGGGCGUAAAGGGCUCGUAGGUGGUUGAUCGCGUCGGAAGUGUAAUCUUGGGGCUUAACCCUGAGCGUGCUUUCGAUACGGGUUGACUUGAGGAAGGUAGGGGAGAAUGGAAUUCCUGGUGGAGCGGUGGAAUGCGCAGAUAUCAGGAGGAACACCAGUGGCGAAGGCGGUUCUCUGGGCCUUUCCUGACGCUGAGGAGCGAAAGCGUGGGGAGCGAACAGGCUUAGAUACCCUGGUAGUCCACGCUGUAAACGGUGGGUACUAGGUGUGGGGUCCAUUCCACGGGUUCCGUGCCGUAGCUAACGCUUUAAGUACCCCGCCUGGGGAGUACGGCCGCAAGGCUAAAACUCAAAGGAAUUGACGGGGCCCCGCACAAGCGGCGGAGCAUGCGGAUUAAUUCGAUGCAACGCGUAGAACCUUACCUGGGUUUGACAUGGAUCGGGAGCGCUCAGAGAUGGGUGUGCCUCUUUUGGGGUCGGUUCACAGGUGGUGCAUGGCUGUCGUCAGCUCGUGUCGUGAGAUGUUGGGUUAAGUCCCGCAACGAGCGCAACCCUUGUUCACUGUUGCCAGCACGUUAUGGUGGGGACUCAGUGGAGACCGCCGGGGUCAACUCGGAGGAAGGUGGGGAUGACGUCAAGUCAUCAUGCCCCUUAUGUCCAGGGCUUCACGCAUGCUACAAUGGCUGGUACAGAGAGUGGCGAGCCUGUGAGGGUGAGCGAAUCUCGGAAAGCCGGUCUCAGUUCGGAUUGGGGUCUGCAACUCGACCUCAUGAAGUCGGAGUCGCUAGUAAUCGCAGAUCAGCAACGCUGCGGUGAAUACGUUCCCGGG